rnacentral:lncRNA from 1 species
GUGUGGACCAGUGCUGGUCUGAUAGUCAUGGUGACAGUGUUAGGACUGGUCCUGCUCCUGUUCUACAGACAGAGGAGAGGAACCAGGAGAACACCAUCACCACCACCAGUCUCCUCCAACACACAACCUGACCCUACAGGAGAGGUUGACUGUGUGUAUAAGGAGAUCAGAGAGGCAGACAGACAGACAGACACACUCCCUGUGGUCAUCUCUUCAGUCUACUCUACUGUCAAAUCACCAAACUACCCUGCUGGUCAAGCCUCUGUAACCUACCCUGCUGGCCAAGCCUCUACAACGUAUCCUGCUAGUCAAGCCUCUGCAACCUACCCUGCUGGCUCUGCCACAGAUCACCCAGCUUCUCUCAUCUUCUGCAAUGUGGAUCUACUCAAAGAUUCGAGUCUCUUCAAGUCCUCCAACAGCCAGUGGAGCCCAGGAUGAUUCCAUCUAUUCUACAGCCCAGCUACCCAAAGAUACUGUAGAAUCUACAAGAUACCCUGCUGUACACCUCUCUAAUGACACUCCAGAAGAUGCCCUCUACUCUACAGCCCAGCUACCCAAAAUAAUGUAGUACUAUAUAAUCUAUACAAGAGAUGCAUCCCAAAUGGCACCCUAUUAUCUAUCCCCCAUAUAGACCCUGGUCAAAUGCAGUGCUCUAUAGCGAACAAGGUGACAUCUGGGAUGAAGGGAAGCUCCCUGUAGAGAGAUGAAGGGUUGUCACCCCAGAGCCGCCAUCUUGGAAUGACAUGAAAAAAAACUAUCCCAUUCAUGUUUCAAAUCCUCCUUGACAUAUUGUACUAAAACAGCUCAUGUGGUUUUACUGUAUAUAAUGUAUGUAAAAUAUGAACAUCUGGGUUUAAAAUCACUGUUAUCUCCAGAUUUUGUGAAAGUCAACCAACAUUAGUGUAGAUAUGUGUAAAUAUGAACUAUGUGUUUUGUCAUAUAAUCUUGGCUUCAUUUUGUCUGUUAUAAUAAUGAAGACAGUAAUGCCAUAAUAGUCAGUUGUACCUUUGAGAUUUACA